AUUUUUAAUCCAUCUCCCCAUAUAAUCUCACUAACCUAUCUACUAUAAUCUCAGCUUAGCGACGAGGCGAGUGACACGAGAAACAAGGAGGGGGAAUGGAUUAAAAAUGGCGGAGUAUAGAAUACCUGUAUAUUUAGUGCUCUAGUUUCUGUAAGGCACUAAAUAUAUGAGUAUUCUAUACUCCGCCAUUUUUAAUCCAUCUCCCCACCCCAUAUAAUCUCACUAACCUAUCUACUAUAAUCUCAGCUUAGCGACGAGGCGAGUGACACGAGAAACAAGGAGGGGGAAUGGAUUAAAAAUGGCGGAGUAUAGAAUACCUGUAUAUUUAGUGCUCUAGUUUCUGUAGAGAAGCAGUGUCCGGAGGAGGUUAGAGAGAGAAACAUACUUUUUAGUACUUCUCUUUCUACAAGUGUCCGGAAGUAUGCAUUGCACUUGUAGAAAGAGAAGUACCAAAAAGUAUGUUUCUCUCUCUAACCUCCUCCGGACACAGUCUGAUACGUAUUGCCAGUCCAUACUUAUAAGGUCUAUGGAGGGCACCCAUUGUUGACACUGCUUUGGAAGUGACUUCCGACUACGGGAAAACACUUUAUAAUGUGCAAUUAUAAGAAAAUUGUGUAAUUAAAUAACAUUAUAUAAUAAUAAAAAUGAAAAUGUGUUGUGUAUAUCGUUGUAAAACGUCUUCUUCAAAUUCUAAUGAAUCGUUUUUUAGUUUUCCAAAAAGAGAAGAUAUCUUUAAAGAAUAGAAGAAAAUAGUACCGACAAAAAACUAUAUCACAAAGCAUUCUCGUAUUUGUAGUAAACAUUUUCAGAACUCUUGUUAUGAGCACAUUGGAAAAAAACGAGUAUUGAAAUAUGAUGCAAUAUACCUACAAUAUUUAAUUAUGAUUUAGAAAAUAUAAAAGAUGUUGCAAUGACAUUUCAGACUUCAAAAAUAGAAAAAGAGUUAAAAACAGUUGCAAAAACAGAUGUAGCCACUGAAAUAUCUCCACAUUUAGUAAGACCAACUGAAGAAGAAAAUAAAUUAAGAAACAAAAUAAAGAAUCUUCAAGCUUGCUUACGUCGUAAGGAAAAGAAACUUUCAAGAGUUACUGAAUUAUUAAAACAUUUAAAAGAAAAAGAACACUCGUGCCGGCUGCCAGCAUGUCAUGUGCUCUUACACGAUCUCGCAUAAUAAGUAAGUUACAGUGUUUUUGCGAGUUAUAGUGCUGCACGAAAGAAGAGGAAAGUGUUUUUUUCCAGUGUGUUAUAAUAUAUUAUUUAAUUUUAUGAGAAACAUUAUCAGAAUGUUAAAACAACAUUAAUACAAUAUUACUUGUAACGACAUAGAAAAUGUUAUUUCAACAUUACCGAAACCUUUAAAUUGGUGUCAAAGUUUGUUCAUAAUGAUGUUGCAUACAAUGUUAAAAACUACAUACUUGACAACAUUACUAUGUUAGUGAAUAUCAUUAUAAUAACGUUGUGGUAAUAAUUUUUUGCUUACUGGGUAUACAUUUGUACGUUCAAAAUUAAAAAAUUACCUCAUCAUUCAACACUACGAAAAUAGAUAGCAAACUAUUCAUGUGAAGCAGGAUUUUUAAAUGACGUUUUCAAUUUUUUGAAAAAAGAAUCAUUAAAAGUAGAUUAUAUAUCAGACGUGGCAUUAAUAUUUAAUUCUAUGUUCAUUCGUUCUCAGUUUGUAAUUGAUCCUAAAGAUAAGAAUUGUAAAGGUUUUCUAGAUUAUGGAACUGCUGCAAAAGAAAUAAAUUUAACUAUUAAUGAAAAAGAAAUAGUUACAGAUGUUCUGGUAUUUUAAGUUGUGACUUGUAGUACAAAAUUAAAAAUACCAAUUGCUCACUUUUUCGUAAAAGGUGUUUCUGCCAAAAUUUUAAAACAAUUGCUUUUACUUGCACUCAAGAAAUUAUACAACAACAGCGUUAUAAUUAGAUCUAUUAUUUGUGAUGGUGCCCCACACAGCAAUAUGACUUCUAAAAGAAUUCUUAAAGAGUUCUCACGUAAGAUUUAGACAUCCGAAUGUAUCUUCUGAAAGAAGACUUAAUGACUUCAGAAAGUAAUCUAAUGCGCCACUUUAAGAAAUAAGUAAGACUUCUUCAAAAAGAUGUCUUAAAGACUUCUUUUUUCUGAUUUCUUUAAGACGACAAUAAGAACGCUUUUUUGAGAAUUGAUGUU